rnacentral:rRNA from 1 species
UUGGCCUUUGACAUGCUGAGAACUUUUCCAGAGAUGGAUUGGUGCCUUCGGGAACUCAGACACAGGUGCUGCAUGGCUGUCGUCAGCUCGUGUCGUGGGAUGUUGGGUUAAGUCCCGUAACGAGCGCAACCCUUUGUCCUUAGUUACCAGCACGUUAUGGUGGGCACUCUAAGGAGACUGCCGGUGACAAACCGGAGGAAGGUGGGGAUGACGUCAAGUCAUCAUGGCCCUUACGGCCAGGGCUACACACGUGCUACAAUGGUCGGUACAAAGGGUUGCCAAGCCGCGAGGUGGAGCUAAUCCCAUAAAACCGAUCGUAGUCCGGAUCGCAGUCUGCAACUCGACUGCGUGAAGUCGGAAUCGCUAGUAAUCGUGAAUCAGAACGUCACGGUGAAUACGUUCCCGGGCCUUGUACACACCGCCCGUCACACCAUGGGAGUGGGUUGCUCCAGAAGUAGCUAGUCUAACCUUCGGGAGGACGGUUACCACGGAGUGAUUCAUGACUGGGGUGAAGUCGUAACAAGGUAGGCGUAGUGCU